rnacentral:rRNA from 1 species
UACGGAAGGCAGCAGUGGGGAAUAUUGCACAAUGGGCGCAAGCCUGAUGCAGCCAUGCCGCGUGUAUGAAGAAGGCCUUCGGGUUGUAAAGUACUUUCAGUCGUGAGGAAGGUGUUAAGGUUAAUAACCUUAGCAAUUGACGUUAGCGACAGAAGAAGCACCGGCUAACUCCGUGCCAGCAGCCGCGGUAAUACGGAGGGUGCGAGCGUUAAUCGGAAUUACUGGGCGUAAAGGGCACGCAGGCGGUUAAUUAAGUUGGAUGUGAAAUCCCCGGGCUUAACCUGGGAAUGGCAUUCAAGACUGGUUAGCUAGAGUCUUGUAGAGGGGGUAGAAUUCCAUGUGUAGCGGUGAAAUGCGUAGAGAUGUGGAGGAAUACCGGUGGCGAAGGCGGCCCCUGGACGAAAGACUGACGCUCAUGUGCGAAAGCGUGGGGAGCAAACAGGGAUUAGAUACC